CAUCUCUGUCCUACUAUUAGAAAUGCAAAGACUAAAAACAUGUUUCAAAUAGCGCUCUGUGCUGCCAAUGAUGUAUCAACGCCCUAUGCCAUUACUCUUUUCUAAAUGUGAUAAUAAUGUGAUCUGUUAACAUAAAAAAAGUUUGACGCCACAAAGCAGCUGGAAAUGGACAACUGAAAUAUGCAUAUAUCUAACUCAUAUCAUCAAAUGCACAGUUUGAUAUAUGUUGUUAAAAGCCUUUCAUGUCUUUCUAUUCUUCUCAAGCAAAAAUAGCAGCUUUUUAAUGUAAAUUAAUAGGUUUUGUAACACCAGUUCCUAACUCAGAUAUUUUACUAGUUCCAAACACUGUUGGGGGAAUAGGGAUAGCAAUACCUGAG
rnacentral:sRNA from 1 species